UCUGUGACCGACUCCUAGCCGAUUUGAAUCUGAAUCGACAGGAACCGACUCUCUAACCGAUUUCUGUUUUAAACCCUACCGGAUUCCCGCCGAAAACCUGCACUGAUCAUCGAAGUUCUUUCUCCGUCUCCCUUUCCCAUUCCCUCUCCCCUUCUGUUAGUUUCUCUUUCUCGUUGUAUCUGUGCAGAUUCUGGUGAAAUCGUGGGGUUAUAGGCCAUGCUUUCUGGCCGUCUCUCCUCUUUGAGAGAAGGAGUUUUGUUGCGUGUUUCUAACGCGAAAGCUCUCUCUCUUCCUCUUUUCAAGGAGAAAAAGGGUAGGGGUCAUGAUUUGGGAACUAUCUCAUCUGGCUAGCAAAUGGGUUUUGUUAGGGGUUCCUCAUGGGCUAUGAUUUAUGCCAGUUCGUUGUUGUAAUGAGGAGUCCAUUGACUUCAAUGGCUCUCCAUCACCCUGGACUGUAAUCUUAUGCAAUAGUAACAAUAUUUCAGGAGUUGUCUUUCACAACUCGAGUCUCUCGGUUGAUGAAGACUUAGUGUUUCUUCUAGCCUUACGAUUAUUGUUGCCUAGGAGUUAGUUUUCCCAGUAAAAUGGGUGAAUUCAAAUAGCGUUGAGUUUAUUAAUGAGAUUUGGUUUGUGAGGUAAUAAUGGCUUGAUCUAUCGAUCUACCUUUUUCUUUCCAUUUGUUUCUUAUUCUGUACGGGUAAAUAUUAUUUUUUAAGUUUGAUUUUCACUGGAUUGAUCGGCAGAUCAUUUUCCUUUAUGGGUUCUGCUAAAGAAGGCAAAAGAAAUGAAUCUUUUAUUGUUUUUUAUUGUAUUUAGGAGAAUGGAUUUGGAACGAUUGAUUUUUUCCUUUCCUUGUUCUUCUUAGAAGAAGCUCAUGUAGGUUUUCCGUUUUGUUGGGUAUUUACCUAGAUUUGAUGCUUUGGGGAAUUCUUUUAGCUGUUUGAUUGGUUAUGAUUUCUGCUUCUUGGAUUACUUCUUUCUCGUAGGAAAGGUUUUAAUUUUAUGGAAUUGUGUAAUUGACUAGUUGUGUCUGUUUUCUGUACUAAUUCUUAUUCUGCUCUUAUCAUUUUCUUUGGGGGAAAUGAGUUGAGUUAUAGUCUUUGGAGAGGAAAGAUGUUAAUCUGAUGGGUCAGCAAACCUCUACAUUUUGAGUUUAUCUUUUGGGUUCAAAUUCUUUUAUUAUUUUAGAUUAUUUUUCUUCAAUAAAAAACACUCAAAAUUUGAAAAACUCAAUGGCCUUGGAUGUUUUUUUUUCUCACUUAUGUGUUCCUUUGUACAGCUCGAAGGAGAGAACCACUCUAGGAUGGAUCAUGGAAAGGGGAUUGAAGCAGGUCUGAAGGGUGAUACAAAGGGUCUGAGAGAGUUUUAUUGUUGGACUGAUGAGAGGAUAAAAUUACUAAUCGAUAUUGGUCGUGAUUAUUCGCGCAAAGGGUACAAGCUGAAUGCAUCUUUUACAGAAGAUGGUUGGGCCUGCAUGUUGAAAGAAUAUAACCAAAAAUGCGAGAAGCUAGUAACCAUGUUACAACUCAAGAAUAGAUUGAACAUCCUUAACGCUGUUGUUGCUGAUGGGGAAGCUACAGUUUGCACCAAUGAAGAUGACCCACCUGGCCACCUCCAACCACACCAAAGGGGGUAUCUGAUUCGAACAGUGCUGUAAACUCAGAAAACUCGGAUUCUGAUGAUUCAAAUAAUGAUGAUUUGCCGAUUGAGGUGUUAGAUAUGAAGAAGGAAAAGAAAAGAAAGAGGAGGAGUUCUAUGGAGUCAUCUCAGAGGUCAAAUAGUAGUGACAAUCCCAAUAUAGGAGAAGCUAUCAACAGACUGAUUGCUCUAGAAGAGCGAAAAACAGAAGAUAUGAGGGCUUUGUUAGGGAUGAAAAAAGCAGCUAUAAGUGGAGCAAUUAUAGACACCACAUUUGACAUGGCUUAUCAAAUUCUUAACUCUUUGGACGAGAUUCAGCCUGGUAGUACCAACCAUGUGAUGGCUUUGGAGGUGCUCGAGGAUCGAAACAAAAGACAAGCAUUCAUUUUGAUGCAUGAAUUGUCUUGUGUACCAUGGCUUCUUAGAGCAAUUGAGAGGAAAGCAAGAGAGGAGUCUGGAGUCUGGACCCUCUAUUCGAUUUGCAUGACAAAUACUUCAACUUCUGCGUUUGUGUGGUUUCAAAUAUUUUGUAGUUUCUUUCUUGCAAGACUUAAAAAUGUGUGUGGAUGUUUUUCAUUUCAUAUUUGUAUAGUUUGACCUACAUGUGAAUGUAUUUUGAAAGUAUAUGUAGUUGUUUCUGUUAAACUAUGUGUGUGGAUGUUAAUAUUCAUUUUGAAUUUUGAAAGUCAAAUUUAUGUGUUUU